rnacentral:rRNA from 1 species
CCUACGGGUGGCAGCAGUGGGGAAUAUUGGACAAUGGGGGGAACCCUGAUCCAGCCAUGCCGCGUGUGUGAAGAAGGUCCUCGGGUUGUAAAGCACUUUCAGUGAGGAAGAACGCCUGGUGGUUAAUACCCAUCAGGAAAGACAUCACUCACAGAAGAAGCACCGGCUAACUCCGUGCCAGCAGCCGCGGUAAUACGGAGGGUGCGAGCGUUAAUCGGAAUUACUGGGCGUAAAGCGCGCGUAGGUGGCUUGAUAAGCCGGUUGUGAAAGCCCCGGGCUCAACCUGGGAACGGCAUCCGGAACUGUCAAGCUAGAGUGCAGGAGAGGAAGGUAGAAUUCCCGGUGUAGCGGUGAAAUGCGUAGAGAUCGGGAGGAAUACCAGUGGCGAAGGCGGCCUUCUGGACUGACACUGACACUGAGGUGCGAAAGCGUGGGUAGCAAACAGGAUUAGAUACCCUUGUAGUC